rnacentral:lncRNA from 1 species
AUGAAGACCACACAGGCCACAAAGCUCUUCGGGAAAAAGUCAGAACAAGAUGUUAAGGAACAUGAAAUCAGCACUCACCUAUUCAGUAGCAAAAUGGGAGGAGGAAAUGAAGGGCCGCAAGCUCUACGAGAAAGGAUGGUUGGUAAGGAAUUGAGGUGGGACAGAUGAAACAGCAAGGAGUGAAGAUACAGGCAGCUUUAAUGGGAAGAGGAAAUACUAGCAAAUAUAACAGUAAUAGGGAGAAAUAUAGGAAUAAAUGAUAAAAGGCUAUUAUAAAAUAAUAUAGCUAUUUAGAAAAACAACCUUAUUCAAAACGGAGGCUACAUAAUCUGAUGGAAAAGGAGGAAACGACGUUAAGAGUAGAAAGAAGAAACUAGGAUCUUUUAAGCAAUUCAGGAAGAAAAAAAAUUAGGCCAUUUAACCAAAGGCGAAUACAAUAGAGGCUGGAAUAUCCAAAAGCACCUUAGAAGGCCAAAGGAUAGAGGUAUGUAAAGCUCUGGAAGGUUCUGAUUCAGGGUAAGGAUAGAGACCAAUAAAGCAUUAGGAUGGAACUGGAAAAGAAACUCUAUCUCCAUAUAUAAGUUUAAAAAAAUCACAAAUACAACAUGAAAGAGAGAAUUAGGUAUCUCAGAACAUAAUCUCUUUUGUGUAUCAGCCAAUUACUGAUAAAAUAUUCAUGCCAUACAAUUCACCCCUUUAAAGUGUACAAUUCAAUGGCUUUUAAUAUAAAGCUAAAAGAUGUACACAAUCAAUUUUAGAAUGUCAUUAUUAUACCAAAAACAAACCCGAUACUCAUCAGCAGUCACUCUCCCCAGUUUUCUCAGUACCAUGCAACCAUUAAUCUAGCUUCCUUUCUAUAGAUCUGCCGUAUCUAGCCAUUUUAUAUAAAUGAAAUCAUCUAAUAUGGCUGGCUUUUUUCACUGACAACGUUUUCAAGGCUCAUUUAUGUUAUAAUAUGUAUCCGUCAUCCCUGUUCAUGGCCAAGUAGCAGUUCAUUGUACAGAUAUACUCUAUUUGGUUUAUCUAUCAGCUUACUGGCAUGCGGGG